GUAAUGAUACGUUUUUAAAGUUUCUUUUAUUUUUGGGAUUGCCCAAGUUUUUACAACCAGACAUAAGUCAGAUGUCUACCGUGUUUAUUGUGGGAGAGAUUGUUACAUGUCUGGAAAAAUGAAGAGAGAGAAGGAAAUUUGACUAAUGGGUUUCCCACUUGUCAUUCAACCCUCUUGAAAGUGUCUAUCGUUGCCCAAUAACAUACAUUUGAUUGUUAUUUGAGCUACAUCUGGAUUCUACAUUUCAAAUUUUAGAUUGCACGUA